rnacentral:rRNA from 1 species
CUCAGGAUGAACGCUAGCUACAGGCUUAACACAUGCAAGUCGAGGGGCAGCAUUUCAGUUUGCUUGCAAACUGGAGAUGGCGACCGGCGCACGGGUGAGUAACACGUAUCCAACCUGCCGAUAACUCGGGGAUAGCCUUUCGAAAGAAAGAUUAAUACCCGAUGGCAUAAUUAGACCGCAUGGUCUUAUUAUUAAAGAAUUUCGGUUAUCGAUGGGGAUGCGUUCCAUUAGGCAGUUGGUGAGGUAACGGCUCACCAAACCUUCGAUGGAUAGGGGUUCUGAGAGGAAGGUCCCCCACAUUGGAACUGAGACACGGUCCAAACUCCUACGGGAGGCAGCAGUGAGGAAUAUUGGUCAAUGGGCGCAGGCCUGAACCAGCCAAGUAGCGUGAAGGAUGACUGCCCUAUGGGUUGUAAACUUCUUUUAUAUGGGAAUAAAGUUUUCCACGUGUGGAAUUUUGUAUGUACCAUAUGAAUAAGGAUCGGCUAACUCCGUGCCAGCAGCCGCGGUAAUACGGAGGAUCCGAGCGUUAUCCGGAUUUAUUGGGUUUAAAGGGAGCGUAGGUGGACAGUUAAGUCAGUUGUGAAAGUUUGCGGCUCAACCGUAAAAUUGCAGUUGAUACUGGCUGUCUUGAGUACAGUAGAGGUGGGCGGAAUUCGUGGUGUAGCGGUGAAAUGCUUAGAUAUCACGAAGAACUCCGAUUGCGAAGGCAGCUCACUGGACUGCAACUGACACUGAUGCUCGAAAGUGUGGGUAUCAAACAGGAUUAGAUACCCUGGUAGUCCACACAGUAAACGAUGAAUACUCGCUGUUUGCGAUAUACAGUAAGCGGCCAAGCGAAAGCAUUAAGUAUUCCACCUGGGGAGUACGCCGGCAACGGUGAAACUCAAAGGAAUUGACGGGGGCCCGCACAAGCGGAGGAACAUGUGGUUUAAUUCGAUGAUACGCGAGGAACCUUACCCGGGCUUAAAUUGCAUUUGAAUAAUCUGGAAACAGGUUAGCCGCAAGGCAAAUGUGAAGGUGCUGCAUGGUUGUCGUCAGCUCGUGCCGUGAGGUGUCGGCUUAAGUGCCAUAACGAGCGCAACCCUUAUCUUUAGUUACUAACAGGUCAUGCUGAGGACUCUAGAGAGACUGCCGUCGUAAGAUGUGAGGAAGGUGGGGAUGACGUCAAAUCAGCACGGCCCUUACGUCCGGGGCUACACACGUGUUACAAUGGGGGGUACAGAAGGCAGCUACCUGGUGACAGGAUGCUAAUCCCAAAAACCUCUCUCAGUUCGGAUCGAAGUCUGCAACCCGACUUCGCGAAGCUGGAUUCGCUAGUAAUCGCGCAUCAGCCAUGGCGCGGUGAAUACGUUCCCGGGCCUUGUACACACCGCCCGUCAAGCCAUGAAAGCCGGGGGUACCUGAAGUACGUAACCGCAAGGAGCGUCCUAGGGUAAAA